rnacentral:rRNA from 1 species
UACAGAGGGUGCGAGCGUUAAUCGGAAUUACUGGGCGUAAAGCGCACGUAGGCGGCUUGGUAUGUCGGGUGUGAAAUCCCCGGGCUCAACCUGGGAACUGCAUCCGAAACUGCCUUGCUAGAGUAUGGGAGAGGGAAGUGGAAUUUCCGGUGUAGCGGUGAAAUGCGUAGAUAUCGGAAGGAACAUCAGUGGCGAAGGCGACUUCCUGGACCAAUACUGACGCUCAGGUGCGAAAGCGUGGGGAGCAA